rnacentral:rRNA from 1 species
GUGCCAGCAGCCGCGGUAAUACGGAAGGUCCGGGCGUUAUCCGGAUUUAUUGGGUUUAAAGGGAGCGCAGGCUGAUUGUUAAGCGUGACGUGAAAUGUAGCCGCUCAACGGCUGAACUGCGUCGCGAACUGGCAGUCUUGAGUGAGUACGACGUCAGCGGAAUUCGUGGUGUAGCGGUGAAAUGCUUAGAUAUCACGAAGAACCCCGAUUGCGAAGGCAGCUGACGAGUCCUUUACUGACGCUAAAGCUCGAAGGUGCGGGUAUCGAACAGGAUUAGAUACCCUGGUAGUCCGCACGGUAUACGAUGGAUGCCCGCUGUUGGCGAUAUAUUGUCAGCGGCCAAGCGAAAGCGUUAAGCAUCCCACCUGGGGAGUACGCCGGCAACGGUGAAACUCAAAGGAAUUGACGGGGGCCCGCACAAGCGGAGGAACAUGUGGUUUAAUUCGAUGAUACGCGAGGAACCUUACCCGGGCUUGAACUGCAGGAGAACGAUACAGAGAUGUUGAGGCCCUUCGGGGCUCCUGUGGAGGUGCUGCAUGGUUGUCGUCAGCUCGUGCCGUGAGGUGUCGGCUUAAGUGCCAUAACGAGCGCAACCCUUGUCUGUAGUUGCCAUCAGGUGAUGCUGGGCACUCUGCGGAUACUGCCACCGUAAGGUGUGAGGAAGGUGGGGAUGACGUCAAAUCAGCACGGCCCUUACGUCCGGGGCUACACACGUGUUACAAUGGGGAGUACAGAGAGUCGGUGCAUGGCAAUGUGCAUCCAAUCCUUAAAGCUCUCCUCAGUUCGGAUUGGGGUCUGCAACCCGACCCCAUGAUGCUGGAUUCGCUAGUAAUCGCGCAUCAGCCAUGGCGCGGUGAAUACGUUCCCGGGCCUUGUACACACCGCCCGU